rnacentral:tRNA from 1 species
GCGGGCGUAGUUCAAUGGUAGAACGCGACCUUGCCAAGGUCAAGAUGUGGGUUCGAUUCCCAUCGCCCGCUCCA